GACGAACGCUGGCGGCGUGCUUAACACAUGCAAGUCGAACGGAAAGGCCCUGCUUGCAGGGUACUCGAGUGGCGAACGGGUGAGUAACACGUGGGUGAUCUGCCCUGCACUUCGGGAUAAGCCUGGGAAACUGGGUCUAAUACCGGAUAGGAGCCAUUUUUAGUGUGAUGGUUGGAAAGUUUUUUCGGUGUAGGAUGAGCUCGCGGCCUAUCAGCUUGUUGGUGGGGUAAUGGCCUACCAAGGCGGCGACGGGUAGCCGGUCUGAGAGGGUGGACGGCCACAUUGGGACUGAGAUACGGCCCAGACUCCUACGGGAGGCAGCAGUGGGGAAUAUUGCACAAUGGGCGCAAGCCUGAUGCAGCGACGCCGCGUGGGGGAUGACGGCCUUCGGGUUGGAAACUCCUUUCGCUAGGGACGAAGCUUUUUGUGACGGUACCUAGAUAAGAAGCACCGGCUAACUACGUG
rnacentral:rRNA from 1 species